rfam:Hordeum vulgare subsp. vulgare, WGS project CAJW01000000 data, contig: morex_contig_160181
CUAAUACUUUCUUCGUCCGGAAUUACUUGUCAUAAAAAAAAAUACAUCUAGACAUAUUUUAAUUUCAGAUACAUUCAUUUUUUUUUCAUUUUGAUGACAAGUAAUUUCAGACGGAGAGAGUAUUAA